GGAAGAAGGACCAAGCCUGUCCCAUCGGCCAUCCUGUGUGUCAUGUCCUGGGACCCAGUGGAUGCUCAGCACCCUCCAGCUGAAGAAGCAGAUUGCCUUCGAUACAUGAAAGGUGAGGACACCUACUAUCCCCAUGGAGCCCAGGUGGGGCUGGGAUUCUGCUGUUUGUACAGCCGGUGGGCUCGUGUUGCUUUGGGCAUCCCUGUGCCUGAAUUCCUGCCGUACACUCGGUGAGAACAGCAUCUCUGAGCCCGUCCUUGGUGAC